GGCAAGAUGGCCGAGCGGUCUAAGGCGCCAGCUUCAGGUUCGACUUCUUAGCGGAGUUGAACGUGCUGGUCUAGUAAUAGGCGUGGGUUCGAAUCCCACUCUUGUCA